AACGAACGCUGGCGGCAUGCCUAACACAUGCAAGUCGAACGAGACCUUCGGGUCUAGUGGCGCACGGGUGCGUAACGCGUGGGAACCUGCCCUUAGGUUCGGAAUAACUCCCCGAAAGGGGUGCUAAUACCGGAUAAUGUCUUCGGACCAAAGAUUUAUCGCCUUUGGAUGGGCCCGCGUUGGAUUAGCUAGUUGGUAGGGUAAAAGCCUACCAAGGCGACGAUCCAUAGCUGGUCUGAGAGGAUGAUCAGCCACACUGGGACUGAGACACGGCCCAGACUCCUACGGGAGGAAGCAGUGGGGAAUAUUGGACAAUGGGCGAAAGCCUGAUCCAGCAAUGCCGCGUGAGUGAUGAAGGCCUUAGGGUUGUAAAGCUCUUUUAACCGGGAUGAUAAUGACAGUACCGGGAGAAUAAGCUCCGGCUAACUCCGUG
rnacentral:rRNA from 1 species